UACGGGGGGGGCAAGCGUUGUUCGGAAUCACUGGGCGUAAAGGGUGCGUAGGCGGGUCUUUAAGUCAGGGGUGAAAUCCUGGAGCUCAACUCCAGAACUGCCUUUGAUACUGAGGAUCUUGAGUCCGGGAGAGGUGAGUGGAACUGCGAGUGUAGAGGUGAAAUUCGUAGAUAUUCGCAAGAACACCAGUGGCGAAGGCGGCUCACUGGCCCGGUACUGACGCUGAGGCACGAAAGCGUGGGGAGCAAACAGG
rnacentral:rRNA from 1 species